GAAAUGUUCAAGACUUCAAGUCUCUGUGUUUGUACUUCCUAGCAUGGUGAUGUCCCUUCUGCUGGUGUUUAUUAUGAUGAUUCAUAUAGUAAGUUGAUGCCAGAUGCAAAAAAUAAAAUAGUACAUAGAUAUAGGUUGCAUCUGCAUUUUUAUUAAUAAACUCCUGUUGAAAAGGUUUUGUAUUCACAUUAUUAAUUAGCCCCACAUCUAUAUGUAAAUCAGUGUCUUGGUAAGUCAUAUUUGUGAGCAUGUAUCACAAUACCUAAUUUAGCCUGGUGCAAAUUAUUUUCUUUUAACUACAGUAUUUUUGAUUUGUUGAAAUCUUGCGUCUACUUUUAUUUUGUGGAGAACUCAGAUCUUUCUUAGCAAACGAAAGAUGUGUGGUAUUUCAUUACAUGAUUUUUUUCCCAAGGGGGUACCUCGUGUCUUGCUUAGUAUGCUUUUGAGGUUUAUUUUACUCAGUCGGCAUAUAGCAUUUUUUUCAUAAGAAAACAAGGAUAAAAAGUGAUUGUCAGAUGUAGGCUAGUACUCUCCUUUUCUUUGGCUCCUCCAUGACUUUCUGCUUUGUUGAUAUUCUCUAUCAUAGGUUACUAAUCUCAUUCCUUUGUUGUUCUAGGCUGCAAAGAUAUAUUCAAGAUGCACGGACGUUGAUUGCAAGGUCAAGAAUGGCAAUUUUACUAGAUAAUUAGAAUGUCAUUUUGAAGUGUAAUGUUUCAAACAGUAAGCUGACUGAAUGAUCAAGAAUUAGUCUAGUACUAGAUGGUUUCAGAUAUGUAAUGCUUGUAUCGUGUUCUUUGUAAUGCAAUACAUCAUGUUUAAUAUAUUAUGGGGAUUCCUGCUUAUUAUAUUGUCGCUCCUAUCCAUCGGCAUUGGAAUAAUAAUUUUGGUUCGCAGUAUAAAAUACCAUUAAGUUGUUC
rnacentral:lncRNA from 1 species